UUCGUCCUUCGCACCCGCACCCGGACCCCCACCCCUGAUUCAUCUUCGCAACCCAGCACCCACUUCGUCGAAUCGCACCCGCACCCUUGAAUCACAUCCCCUAGGUCGAAGCUCAAUCUGACAAUCCCCCUUCAUCGAAUCACACUCGCACCCCCGUUCGCAACCCCGAAUCACAUCCCCUAAGUCGAUUCUCAACCCGAGCACCCCCUUCGUCGAAGCUCAACCCGAAGUCGAAGCUCAACACGAAGCUCAUCCCCACGAAUCGGCGUCGAUCAGACUCCCCCUUCGUUGAAGCUCAACCCAAAGAAAAUCCCCACAAAUCGGCGUUGGACCCCCUCUUCGUCGAAGCUCAUCCCCAAAAUUGCAAAUGAAGAGUUUGGAUUCUCAUUCCGGGUCAAGUUCUUGGACCAUAAGAGGGGAAGACAAAGUUGUUUUGGAGAGACCACUUUGCUAUUGUGGCUGCCAAGCAAAGCUACGGAUAUUUGGAAAAGCAAAAAGUUUUGGUAGAAGAUUUUUCAAUUGUCUAAACUACAAAACUAAUAAACAAUCUGGAUUUUUCGAGUGGAUUGAUCUUCAAAGUGAGCAAAACAGCUGCUGUAAGAUGACGUUGGAGUUAGCUGAACGGAGGCACCAUAGGCUACUUCAUGAGCGGCUACACAUCGAACAUUCCAAAUUUAAAGCAUUGGAUAAGAAGUAUAAGAGAGUCUUGAAAGUGUUACUCUUGUCAUGGUUUUUUUUUAUAAUAGUUUGUGGUGUGAUUUUUAUAUAUCCAAAAAAUUACAAUGUAUCUCGGUCAGUGCUACGACUCAUGUAACACGUUGUCGGCGUCUAACACUUUGAGAUUAGAUGCUUGUAUUUGAAUGUACUAAAUGUGAUUAAUGUAAUGAGAACAUCUUUCAUGGAUU